ensembl:lncRNA LINC00923 long intergenic non-protein coding RNA 923
GGCCAGAGCGGACGCAGAGGACGGGGAGGCGCCGCCGAGAGCGAGCCAGGGCUGCUAGCACGUUGUCACCUUUCACUUGGAGGUAGGGCUUCUAGUAGGAGAGGUGGAGAGAGACAUUGAUGAGGAGGGAGAACCUGAGUUUAGGCCAGGAUUCCAACCGUCCGUUUCAAGAGAAAAUGUUCCUGCUGAAUAACAAGGGGGAAACUUGACCAGGCAGGGCCUGGAAAUUAAGAUGGAAGCUCGAGGUUAUGAGAGGCCAGCGUUUCGGGUGCUGUCCAGGUGACUAGGCCUCUAGAGGUUCUUAGAAAGAGAAAGCAUUCUGUGUGGGACUCAGUCUGGGAAACACUGCAUACUGUGUUCUUGUGGAGUUUCACAAUUAAUGCAAACACAUUAAAGGCUCAGAGAAGUCCUGCAGUAAAGAACAUUUCCAAUACAACCCUGUAUUCCCAGCACAGAUGGCCACAAAGCCACUUUUGUUGGAAGACUCGCCAAGGCAGGACAUUUAUUAAUAUUUUGUGAAAGAAGAAUUAUUUUAUUUAAAAAAAAAUAGAGACAGGAUCUUGCUGUAUUGCCCAGGCUGGUCUUGAACUCCUGGACUCAAGAAAUCCUCCUCGGCCUCUCAAAGUCCGGGGAUUACAGGCAUAAGCCACCGCACCCCGCCAAGAAGAAUUCUUUGGGAACCACUAGCACUCUGGAAUGCUUUACUGUAGAUAUGAAUAAGUGAUUUUUUUUAAAUACAAAAGUCAUAUUAGUAUUAAUUAGUUUUGGUGCAUUUUAGAAAAUACACGUUUUAGAAAGCUUACCCUAAUAACGGUUGGAAGACAUGCUGGAAGAGGUAGCAUGAUAGCAAGUGCUGCAGAGGGAGAGGCGUAACUGGGUUCAAAUUUGCCGCUUGCUGCCUGUGAGUCAAGCCUCACAGGUUUGCAUGGUUUGAUUAAAAUAUGGCUUUAAAGAUCUUAGCACAAAGCCUAGCACAUGGUAAGCACUCACUGUGUGGAAGCUAUUAUAUUAUUUUCAUUUUAUUAUGAUAAAUUGGGGCCGACUAGGUCAAGUCAUCAAAGUUUGGCCCACCCAUGGGAUUUGUAGACUUUUGCAGGGCUGUGCCUCCUUUCCUCCCCAGACAAAAUCCAUCACGUCAGCAGUCACAGGGCACCCUGGUUCCCUCUCUGAAUGAACUGUUAAAUGACUAAGCUGGCUCCCAACAGAGGCAGAGCCCAGCAAUAUGCGGCCUGUAAUCUGUCAGAUGAUACAGCAACAGGCCCAGUGAGGGGCCCGACACACCCCCCAGGAGAGUGGAGUCUCUCACUGCAUGUGACGUGGAAGACGCCGAAGAGGUGAGGGAGGCACCAUAUGCUGCGGGCCUGCCAAGGGAGAAUAAACAGCACCGGCAGCCUGGCACAGAGCUCUGGCGGGAACGUCCACCAAGAUCGGUCAGGCACUCUCAUGGCGUCCUCCUGGAUACAGGCUUUUGCUUUUGUUUUUAAUUUUGGAGCAGUGAAGCCGAAAGUGAGGAGUGAGGACAAGGAGAAGACCCAUUUGCUCCUGUUCAUUCAAACAGCAUCUCUUCAUUUUGAAAUUGGCAAGAGGCAGUUCGGGGCUGUGGCAGGUCCUGUACACCACCUGUUGCCUCCCAAGUCACUGUGCCUUUCUGGCUUUCUUUACCUAUGUCCUGUAAAACGCCAGCAAGAACUCUACAUCUUCAACAUUUUGUAGAGCAUUCCCUGCGAUGUGGAAAAUUCUGCUGGGCUAUUCCCUGAGGACACCUCUACCUUUCGUGUCCAGAAUUGGUGGGUUCUUGGUCUCACUGACUUCAAGAAUGAAGCCGCGGACCCUCGCAGCUCAAGCAUAUCUGAAUCGAGAAAAGCAGACAUGAUUGAAGCGCAUUUAUCUCCACUAAUUAAGAGGCUUAUGCCAGGCUGAGCUGAGAUUGUAACACCAGAUGAGCCUCCAUUUCAUCCCGCUACACCUGGAGAAGCUCCUGUGGGAGGAAGACUCAUGGAGACACUUUAAACUGGAAGCAAGAGACCCCAGGGAAGAGUGUUCUUAGGCAGAGGGAACAUAACAUGCUAACGUGCUAUGAGGGGAUACAAUCUCUUUAUUCCAUGUCUGCACGCCCUCCAGCUCACACCGUGGGGCCUCUAACCUUCCACCAUGGUCCUCCCCUGGACUCUCUGUGUGUGCAGAUCCUCUUCUGGAGCAGAACUGGGUUGUCACAGGCCUGGAGCGUGUGUUUGGAAGGUUCUGACUUUGCUGUCUUGGGAAUCAGUUGCCAACAAGGGUGACCAAGCUCCUCAGCUAGAGACAGGCCAUGUCCAGAGGCCCUGCAGGAGGACAUACCCCCUAGAGGGAGAGGCAAGGGUAGGAGAGCCAGCCUCCCGCCCCUAGAGGGAGAGGCAAGGGUAGGAGAGCCAGCCUCCCGCUGACAGUGAGCACCAAGGCCUGGAUGCAGGAUGCCUGCCUGGAGAACAUCCGGCCCAGCCCAGCCCGGCUGCCCGCUGAACCCAGCCUCCUUGUGAAUGGUGUGUAUAGCGGAACUGUCCAGGCCAACGCAAAAGCAUGGGAAAUAGAAAGUCCUUAUGGUUUUAUGCCACUUAAUCUGGGGGUCAUUUGUUAUAUCUCAAUUGAUAGAUGAAACUCAUGCCAGCUUCCUGAUUUUAGGAAGAGUUGAUCCAAUUUGUCUGGUGCUCAGGAUCACAAAUAUCUCAAACAAUGCUCAUUGGUACUCAGUCUCUAAAAAUUCUAUUGAUAUUUUUCUUAAGAAACAUAGUUCUUGAUGACUAUCUUCUUGAAGACAUAGACACGCACCACUACCACAUUCAUUAAUAAUAAUAAUAACAACAACGACAACAAAACUAGUAUAUUGUGAUUUGCUUGGAGUGGCCAGCUUCAGGAGGGAAAUGAAUAACUGUUUUCCAGACUCAAGGAAGAUUCAACUCGAGAUGUAACAUUAGGCAGGCAGGCAGGCCAGUGUUGAAGCACUGGUUUACUGGGCCGGAGAUGGGUAGUUCACAGACUCCAUGCAUGGUUUGACUAUGAAAGAGGAGUCCAUGAACACAGAUUACAUGUUCAUUCUCUCAAUGCAGUUUUUGGCUAGGUUGCAUUAAUACAUAUUCAUCAAUAGAUCAGUAGAAAAACGCUGAGCUCUGUUAAUCAUACUAUAGAUCUGUAGUCAAA